rnacentral:rRNA from 1 species
ACCGCUGAAAGCAUCUAAGCGGGAAACUAACUUCAAGAUAAGUAUUCUUUAAGAUACCUUCGAGCCUAGGAGGUUGAUAGGUUGGGGGUGUAAGUACAGCAAUGUAUUUAGCUGACCAAUACUAAUUAUCGAAGUUUUAAUCUAAGCUCUACUAUAUAGUUUC